UGUGACUUUAUGCUGAAUGUGCCCAAUUUUGUCUGAUCUCUGAAACUAAGCUGGGUCUGGCCUGGUUAGUACUUGGAUGAAAGACCAGCUGGGAAUACAAAUUGUGUUAUUU
rnacentral:rRNA from 1 species